UACGAAAGGGGCUAGCGGUGAUCGGAAUUACUGGGCGUAAAGCGCUCGUAGGCGGUUCUGAAAGUUAGGGGUGAAAUCCCUGGGCUCAACUACGGAACUGCAUUUUAGACUGCAGAGCUCGAGAAGGUGAGAGGUGGGUGGAAUUCCGAGUGUAGAGGUGAAAUUCGUAGAUAUUCGGAGGAACACCAGUGGCGAAGGCGGCUCACUGGCGCGUUUCUGACGCUGAUGCGCGAAAGCGUGGGGAGCAAACAGG
rnacentral:rRNA from 1 species